rnacentral:rRNA from 1 species
GAUGAACGCUAGCGGCAGGCUUAAUACAUGCAAGUCGAGGGGCAGCACGGGUAGUGAUACCUGGUGGCGACCGGCAAACGGGUGCGCAACACGUACAGAACCUUCCUUUAAGCGGGGGAUAGCCCAGAGAAAUUGGUAUUAAUACCCACUGGUAUUGUUGGGUGGCAUCACUUAACAAUUAAAGAUUAUCACUUAGAGAUGGCUGUGCGUCUGAUUAGGUAGUUGGUGAGGUAAAGG